rnacentral:lncRNA from 1 species
AAUAAACAGUAAGAAUUCUUAAAGAAAUAUUAGAAGGAUCACAAAUAUCACUCAAAUACAUCUCAAUUCAAUCUUAAUUUAAUUCUAGUUAAAAUCCUAUUGAACUUCAUUCAAACUUUAGGCCAAAACUAAUUGAAUCUUAAAUCCUAAUAAAAUCCUAAACCCUAAAUCAAACCCUAAACAAACAUCAAACCGAACCCCAACAAAAUCCUAAACCAAAUCCUAACCAAAUCCUAAACCAAACCCUAAACCAAACUCUAAACCCUAAAUCAAAUCCUAACCAAAUCCUAAUCCAAAUCCUAAAUCCUAAAUCAAACCCUAAUCCAAAUCCUAAAUCUUAAAACAAAUACUAAAUAAAUCCUAAAUCCUAAAUCAAACCCUAAUCAAAUCCUAAAUCCUAAAUAAAACCCUAAACCCUAUCCUAAAUCCUAAAUCAAUUCUUAACCAAACCUUAGUAAUUCCUACAAUAGAUUAAAAUCUCAAUAACUAAUGAAUAAACCAAUGAUCUUAACUCAAAUUUUGCACACUUCUUAGCAACUAAGUUGAAAACAAUUAUAAAAUUUUU